UUCAAAGAAAUUGGGCACUUUUAUAGAGACAAGACUGCAAAUAUCAGCUAAGUGCCUUCAAUCCUUAAAAUAAGAAAAUGAACAUGCACCUUUAUAAUCUUUAAGAAUUUAAAAUGGACCACAUAAUAUUUAAGUAGACCACCAAUUAAGUAUUAGUCAGCAGUAUGCUGCAGCUGCCAAAAAGGCCAAUGCAGUUGUAGGCUGCAUUAACAGAGGGAUAUCAUCAAGAUUAUGAGAAGUGAUAGCAUCCUUUUAUACUGAACUAGUGAGGCCAGACUUGGAAACUGCAUCCAGUCAGGUCACCACAAUAGAAAAAAUAUGUUGAGACCCUAGAAAGAGUGCAGAGAACAGCAACAAUGAUGAUAAGGGGUUGGGGGAUAAAUUGUAUGAUGAAUGGUUAAGGGAACUGUGUUUAGUCUAAUGAAGAGAAGGUUAGGAGUGACAUGAUAGCUAUCUUCCAACACUGGAAGGCUGUCACAGAGAAGAGAGGUCAACUUAUUCUCCAAAGCACCUGAGAGUAGGACAAAAAGCAAUGGGUAAAAGCUCCUUAAAGAGAGAUUCUACCUAGAAUUAAGGAGACAGCAUUUAAACUAGCUCUGUAUCUGUCUUUUUACUUAAAGCAAGGGAAUUUUGUGAACUUGUUCUUUUUAAAGAAGAAAUUGUCUCUCUUUUUAAAUGUUAAAUUUUAGUCUUUUGUUUAUAUUAAGAUACUGCUAUUACUUUGAAUUUGAUAAAUGUGGACUUGUUUAUGUAUUUGUUUUAGAGUAUUACAGUAUUGAACUGUAUCUGGCCAGGGCCUUAUUGAAGCAAGUGAUGUCCUAAAAUAUAGCUCAACAAUAGUGCCCCUAAGCCCAUCCGUUACCUAAUUGACAUUACAAUUUGUGGAAUUCAUUACAAGCCAGGAAUGGAAAUAUAAGAAAAGAACUGGAUCACCCAGUCAGUGUUCCCCAUGGAAAAUUUUCCUAUCUUGUGAAGAACAUUUUGUCCUGGUACUUUGAUAGUAUGCAGGAACAAAUGCAAUGUAUACCAUACUGAGUGGAUAUUGGACAUCAUUCCACUUGCAGUUUGUACCACAUUAGGAAAGUCAAACUCUUUCUAGAUGGACACUGACAUAGGGUCUAUGGGGAUUUCCUAUUUGGCAAUGAAUAGACAUAAACAACAUUUACACACUGUACAAAAGAGACAAUCAACAAGUCACAAAAAUGAACAAAAAGACCAAAAACACCUCCCCAGCAAUCAACUCCCAGAUGAGCAAUACCAAGAUUAACAUCAGACCAACAAUCAACAAGUAAACAAUACUCCAAUCAAGGAACUGCCAGUUAAGCUAACAGUAAACAACCCUCCA